rnacentral:rRNA from 1 species
GGAGAGUUUGAUCAUGGCUCAGAACGAACGCUGGCGGCAGGCUUAACACAUGCAAGUCGAGCGCACUCUUCGGAGUGAGCGGCAGACGGGUGAGUAACGCGUGGGAACCUACCUUUAGGUACGGAAUAACAGUUAGAAAUGACUGCUAAUACCGUAUGUGCCCGAGAGGGGAAAGAUUUAUCGCCUAAAGAUGGGCCCGCGUUGGAUUAGCUAGUUGGUGAGGUAAUGGCUCACCAAGGCGACGAUCCAUAGCUGGUUUGAGAGGAUGAUCAGCCACACUGGAACUGAGACACGGUCCAGACUCCUACGGGAGGCAGCAGUGGGGAAUAUUGGACAAUGGGGGAAACCCUGAUCCAGCCAUGCCGCGUGAGUGAUGAAGGCCUUAGGGUUGUAAAGCUCUUUCGCUGGGGAAGAUAAUGACGGUACCCAGUAAAGAAGCCCCGGCUAACUUCGUGCCAGCAGCCGCGGUAAUACGAAGGGGGCUAGCGUUGUUCGGAAUUACUGGGCGUAAAGCGCACGUAGGCGGGUCGUUAAGUUAGAGGUGAAAUCCCGGAGCUCAACUCCGGAACUGCCUUUGAUACUGGCGGCCUUGAGUUCGAGAGAGGUGAGUGGAAUUCCGAGUGUAGAGGUGAAAUUCGUAGAUAUUCGGAGGAACACCAGUGGCGAAGGAGGCUCACUGGCUCGAUACUGACGCUGAGGUGCGAAAGCGUGGGGCGCAAACAGGAUUAGAUACCCUGG